CUCCCUCGCUGCUGAUCUCAGGUUCGAUAAUGCCUAAUCGCACCACCUCGCCUAAAACCAACUUCGAUGAAGCGACGGGCGGUGUGUG
rnacentral:rRNA from 1 species